UAGUCAGGCUGCAUUCAGGGUGUGUC
rnacentral:piRNA from 1 species